rnacentral:rRNA from 1 species
GACGUAGGGCGCGAGCGUUGUCCGGAUUUAUUGGUCGUAAAGAGCUCGUAGGCGGCUUGUCGCGUCGUCCGUGAAAACCCACAGCUCAACUGUGGGCUUGCGGUCGAUACGGGCAGGCUAGAGUUCGGUAGGGGAGACUGGAAUUCCUGGUGUAGCGGUGAAAUGCGCAGAUAUCAGGAGGAACACCGGUGGCGAAGGCGGGUCUCUGGGCCGAUACUGACGCUGAGGAGCGAAAGCGUGGGGAGCAAACGGG